rnacentral:rRNA from 1 species
UGCAGUCGUACGAUGAUAGCCCAGCUUGCUGGGCGGAUUAGUGGCGAACGGGUGAGUAAUACGUGAGUAACCUGCCCUUGACUCUGGGAUAAGCCUGGGAAACUGGGUCUAAUACUGGAUACUACCUCUUGCCGCAUGGUGGGUGGUGGAAAGGGUUUUACUGGUUUUGGAUGGGCUCACGGCCUAUCAGCUUGUUGGUGGGGUAAUGGCUCACCAAGGCGACGACGGGUAGCCGGCCUGAGAGGGUGACCGGCCACACUGGGACUGAGACACGGCCCAGACUCCUACGGGAGGCAGCAGUGGGGAAUAUUGCACAAUGGGCGGAAGCCUGAUGCAGCGACGCCGCGUGAGGGAUGACGGCCUUCGGGUUGUAAACCUCUUUCAGUAGGGAAGAAGCGAGAGUGACGGUACCUGCAGAAGAAGCGCCGGCUAACUACGUGCCAGCAGCCGCGGUAAUACGUAGGGCGCAAGCGUUGUCCGGAAUUAUUGGGCGUAAAGAGCUCGUAGGCGGUUUGUCGCGUCUGCUGUGAAAGCCCGGGGCUCAACCCCGGGUCUGCAGUGGGUACGGGCAGACUAGAGUGCAGUAGGGGAGACUGGAAUUCCUGGUGUAGCGGUGAAAUGCGCAGAUAUCAGGAGGAACACCGAUGGCGAAGGCAGGUCUCUGGGCUGUUACUGACGCUGAGGAGCGAAAGCAUGGGGAGCGAACAGGAUUAGAUACCCUGGUAGUCCAUGCCGUAAACGUUGGGCACUAGGUGUG